GCGCUCCGCCCCGCGCAUCCAUCCCUCCCUCCCUCCGGUCCCUCAGCCUCUCCGCAUCCCUCCGUCCGCGCUCCCCCCCCGGCCCUUUACCUCCCCUGGGGCGCAGGGAGGGGCGGCCGGCGGCCCCGAGCUCGGCGGGACGGCCCCGAAAGAAAAAGCGAAAGCGGCGGCCGCUGCCUCCCGUUCUGCCGGGCUGCCGCGCUCUGCCCGCGGCUGACGUCAAGGGCCCAAAUUCCUGCCUUUCCCUGCAGGCAGAUUUGUCCAUUAGCUGUUCGGUAUCUGCAUCUGCCCUGAGGAGAACGGGAGGACAGAAAGGUUACAUUGUGUUCAGGCUGCGGAGGGGAGCUUUGCCAAGCCUUACUCGUUUGGAAAGAGAUUUCUGGAAAACCAGGGUUAAGUAUGCGGCUCUGCAACAGAACAGAUGUGGGACUUGGGGAAAGUUGCAGCUUGAACUGAGCUGGAAAAGUUUCCACCAUUUGCCAAUAUCUUGGAGAGUCUGGAAUCCUUCCCAUCUUUACUGUGACAAAAACAGGACUUCUCAACAUUUUGGAGGACUUUCUCCCUUGUAAUAAAGGACAAAAAGCACAGAGUGAAAAACAAAUCACAGUGCCAAAAGUGACUGAGAACCAGUCUUGCCUGUUUUAAUUCCCCAACUUGCCAGCCUCAUGCUCCAAGACCUGACCUACAGACUCCCAGCCAGCCCAGGAAUGACCAUGCCACAACGAAGGACCAUUUGGACCAGA